rnacentral:rRNA from 1 species
AUUGAACGCUGGCGGUAUGCUUAACACAUGCAAGUCGAACGAGUGGCGGACGGGUGAGUCAUGCAUAGCAAUCUACCUUUUAGUCUAGGAUAACUACCAGACAGGGUGGCUAAUACUGGAUGCUACGCGAUGAGCCUAUGUUGGAUUAGCUAGUUGGUGGGGUAAUGGCUCACCAAGGGGACGAUCGCUAGCUGGUUUGAGAGGAUGAGCAGGCAAAAUGGGACUGAGAAACGGCCCAGGCUCCUACGGGAGGGAGCAGUGGGGAAUAUUGGACAAUGGGCGAAAGCCUGAUCCAGCAAUACCGCAUGUGUGAAGAAGGCCCUAGGGUUGUAAAGCACUUUUGUUAGGGAGAUGUUACCUAAAGAAUAAGCACCGGCUAACUCCGUGCCAGCCGCCGCGGUAAUAC